UGGCGUCCACGGCACGUUAUUCUGCCUGGUUCAAAUGUUAAUGCUGGGAGACGGUCCUCAGCGAUGUGUUUUUUUCCCCUGCCGCGUACAAUCGAAGCUUGAAGGGCAAAUGUCCUUUUAUACAAGAAAUACGGGUGGUGUUUUUUUUUUAAUUAGUUGUGAAAGCUGGAAAAGAUUCUGUCAUGCUGUGAAGACUAUGAAAACUGAUAAAAGGCUGAAUAUUUCAGCAAGUCAACUGUCUGAAAUUUAACUCCAAAGCAACCAUGAAGAAUGUUUUGCAAGGCAGGAUUUAAUUCUCCAGGAGCCAACUUUUGUAAUUCUAGAUUUAUCUUUUUAUCAAGAGCAGAUGUUUCAAAUUAAUUCAGCGAUAUAUACAUCUCACGCUAUAUCUUGAAUAUAAUUUGAGAUCAAAUUCAAGUUGCUUUCUGCUUUUAGAUCCUCGCUGUUGUAUUAUAUACCCAUGCAUAUACUGUAUGUAGAAAGUUAUUUAUAAAGUGAUUAAAGGUGGGAUAAAAAUUUAAUGCAUGAAUAAAAUAUCCCACAAUCAGAGAAUAAGUACCAAGUAAGAGUGGUUACAAAUGAUCCAGAUUAUAAUCAAGUUGAAUGCUGGCAAAGUACUGAAUUCCCACAGAAUAAAUGAGCAAACUGAACAAAAC